GACGAACGCUGGCGGCGUGCCUAAUACAUGCAAGUAGAACGCUGAAGGAGGAGCUUGCUCUUCUGGAUGAGUUGCGAACGGGUGAGUAACGCGUAGGUAACCUGCCUGGUAGCUGGGGAUAACUAUUGGAAACGAUAGCUAAUACCGCAUAACAUUGACUAUUGCAUGAUAGUCAAUUAAAAGGUGCAAAUGCACCACUACCAGAUGGACCUGCGUUGUAUUAGCUAGUUGGUGGGGUAACGGCUCACCAAGGCGACGAUACAUAGACGACCUGAGAGGGUGAUCGGCCACACUGGGACUGAGACACGGCCCAGACUCCUACGGGAGGCAGCAGUAGGGAAUCUUCGGCAAUGGACGGAAGUCUGACCGAGAAACGCCGCGUGAGUGAAGAAGGUUUUCGGAUCGUAAAGCUCUGUUGUAAGAGAAGAACGAGUGUGAGAGUGGAAAGUUCACACUGUGACGGUAUCUUACCAGAAAGGGACGGCUAACUACGUG
rnacentral:rRNA from 1 species